UCAGACUGCAGCAGGCUAACAUUAUUUAGAAGAGAGUAGACAAUGGGGGAUGCGUGAAAAAAAGUAACCAGCUGCUGCAAUAAACAACAAGUUACAUUCAGUUUUGCAUUCCUGGCCAGAACACAGCCCUUCAACAGGUAAACACAGCGGUCGCCUGAAAGGAUCCAUCAUGUCGUGGAAUGUGUUGAUAAUUGGGCUGAUUUGGAUACUAAUAGCAGGGGGCUCUCCACCGCCAGGUAAA